UACAGAGGUCUCAAGCGUUGUUCGGAUUCAUUGGGCGUAAAGGGUGUGUAGGUGGCGCUGUAAGUCGGGUGUGAAAUUUCGGAGCUUAACUCCGAAACUGCAUUCGAUACUGCGGUGCUUGAGGACUGGAGAGGAGACUGGAAUUCAUGGUGUAGCAGUGAAAUGCGUAGAGAUCAUGAGGAAGACCAGUGGCGAAGGCGGGUCUCUGGACAGUUCCUGACACUGAGACACGAAGGCCAGGGGAGCAAACGGG
rnacentral:rRNA from 1 species